CCCUUAGAUGUCCUGGGCCGCACGCGUGCUACACUGAUGCAUACAGCGAGUACUCCCAGCUCCGCGAGGCUGCUGGUAAUCAGCAAUAUGCAUCGUGAUGGGGAUAGAUCUUUGGAAUUAUAGAUCUUGGACGAGGAAUUCCUAGUAAACGCAAGUCAUCACCUUGCGUUGACUAAGUCCCUGCCCUUUGUACACACCGCCCGUCGCUCCUACCGAUUUCGAGUGAUCCGGUGAAUCAUUCGGACCGCGUGGGCUUGACCUAACGUGGAAAGUCUAGUAAACCAUAUCACUUAGAGGAAGGAGAAGUCGUAACA
rnacentral:rRNA from 1 species